rnacentral:lncRNA from 1 species
GACGCUUAACAUAUAUACACUAAAUUUGAGAAAAUUGUGAAAUGCCAUGAACAAUACCCAAAUUUGUGAAAAAUGCCGCUUUCAAUUCAAUCUUUUAUAAAAUGCCAUAGGACCCACUUUUAACUUAUUCAAAUUACAAAUUUAUCAUUUUAAAACUUUAUCUCUUUUCUUUCAUAUUUUUCUUUCUCUUCUUCAUUCAUCUUUUUCUUUCUCUUCUUCAUUCAUCAUUUUUUCUUUCUUCAACAACAAACAAAUUUCUUUACAAUUCCAGCAGACUAGUUUGGCGGACCAAUUCCCACAGACUACUUUCAACAGACCAUAACCAGAUCCGACAGACCAGUGCCGACAGACGAGAUCCGGCAGACCAGUCUCGAUAGACCAGUUCCAGUAGAUCAGAUCCGGCGGACAAGUUCCAACGGUCCAUAACCAGUUCCGAUGAACCAGAACUGAUAGACCGGAAUCGGUAGACCAAAACUUGUCUAUCCCAUAGAUCUCUUGAAACCACAACUAAUUGAGAAGAAGAUAGAAAAAAUGAUGCAUCUAUGGAAGACAUCAUCAACG